ensembl:snRNA U6atac minor spliceosomal RNA
GCUUUGUAUGAAAGGAGGGAAGGUUAGCAUUCCCCUUGACAAGGACAGAGAGACCCCUGGGCCUUACAACAUGAGUAGGGUUAAGGCAUCGCCAAUUACUUCGUGGCGUCUAAUCACAAUUUUUA